GCAGGCAGGGAGGGACCAGAGGAACCGCCCCAGCCGCUCGAUGUUGCCGCCUUGCUGGAGCACCUCGCAGACGCAGGCCACUUGCUCUUGGGUGAAGCCAAAAGUCGGGAGCAUCGACAUGCGGUUGAAUCUGAAUGGGAGCUGCUGUUCGCCCUAGUCAGAACGGAGAUGUCAAAACCUGUUGCAUGAACUUAGAUCUGAGAAAGUCUCUUCUUAGCACCCUAAAAUAUCGGACAAAGAUCCUGCCCCGACGGAAGAAGAAAACACGACGGAAGAUCACUGCGCGUAACUAAAUUAAGGCAAACAACAAUAGCUUGUUGUUCCGUGAUUUGGGGCCAAAGG